rnacentral:rRNA from 2 species
CACGUGAAAUUCCGUCGGAAUCUGGGAGGACCAUCUCCUAAGGCUAAAUACUCUCUAGUGACCGAUAGUGAACCAGUACCGUGAGGGAAAGGUGAAAAGCACCCCGGAAGGGGAGUGAAAUAGAACCUGAAACCGUGUGCUUACAAGUAGUCAGAGCCCGUUAAUGGGUGAUGGCGUGCCUUUUGUAGAAUGAACCGGCGAGUUACGAUUUGAUGCAAGGUUAAGCAGUAAAUGUGGAGCCGUAGCGAAAGCGAGUCUGAAUAGGGCGUUUAGUAUUUGGUCGUAGACCCGAAACCAGGUGAUCUACCCUUGGUCAGGUUGAAGUUCAGGUAACACUGAAUGGAGGACCGAACCGACUUACGUUGAAAAGUGAGCGGAUGAACUGAGGGUAGCGGAGAAAUUCCAAUCGAACCUGGAGAUAGCUGGUUCUCUCCGAAAUAGCUUUAGGGCUAGCCUCAAGUGAUGAUUAUUGGAGGUAGAGCACUGUUUGGACGAGGGGCCCCUCUCGGGU